UACGGAGGGUGCAAGCGUUGUCCGGAUUUAUUGGGUUUAAAGGGUGCGUAGGUGGGCAAGUAAGUCAGUGGUGAAAUCUCCGGGCUUAACCCGGAAACUGCCAUUGAUACUAUUUGUCUUGAAUACUGUGGAGGUCAGCGGAAUAUGUCAUGUAGCGGUGAAAUGCUUAGAUAUGACAUAGAACACCAAUUGCGAAGGCAGCUGGCUACACAAAUAUUGACACUGAGGCACGAAAGCGUGGGGAUCAAACAGG
rnacentral:rRNA from 1 species